CUAUAGCACCGGUUCUUGAAAACCGGUGCCAAAAAAAAAUGGGCGGGAUUGGAAAAUAGGGAGUUGCUCAUUUAAUUAGCACCGGUUCAAACCGGUGCCAACCUUAAAAAAAAAUAAAAAAAUAAAAAAAACAAAGAAAGCAAUAGAGUUGGCACCAGUUCGCCUUAAACCGGUGCCAACUAUAAUAAUUAGCACCGGUUUGAACCGGUGCCAUUUAAAAAAACAAAACCCGGAUUAAGGCGCGUCAUUCUUCAUUUCCUUGCUCUUUCCUCUUCGUUCUCAUCUGAUCUGCCCCUCUCUCUCCUCCAUUGUAGCGUACUCGAAUUUCUACCAUUGAAGGGGAUUCUGAGCUUUCCUAACACUCCGUCUCUCUCCUUCGAUCUCCUUCUCCAUUAAAGGCCUCUAUUCCUAUUUCCUAAGUCUCUGAGUUAUUUCAUUGAAGCGCACUCAAUGUUCUCCAUUGAAGCGUUCUCCGUUGAAUCUAAUUCUUGUAUCCCCCAUUGAAGCAGCUUCUAAGGAUGCCUCUGGGAUUGAUACUCGGACUUGCAAGGUCAAUGCACAGGAAGCGUACAUCAUCACUUGAUAUCCUUUCUUCAAAGAGGGCGCCAAGGAAUUACUACAAGGGAAAGAAUUGCAAGCCCACUGGAUUUCACACCCGCAAAGGUGGCUAUGUUGGGGUGCAAGAAAAGCUGCCUAACUAUGUAGUACCUGAUCUUACCCAUUCCAAGUAGUAGCAGAAAGGAAGUAAGAAGUAAGGAAACAAUCCAGGAAAAUCUUGUACACUCGAGCAGGAUCGAUCCAUCAAGGGUUGUCCAGCUGUCUUGGCAACCAAGGUCAGGGUCUUUGUUUAUAAAGAUUUAAUCUCUGAAGAGGAUUGUGACCAUCUCAUCUCUCUGGCGCAGGGACAGAAAGAAGGUACCAACUCUGUGGUCAGUGACACCUAAGGACUGAGUACAAGAUCAUUAGUCACUCUUGAUUUGAAAGAUUCAACUUAUUGAGUUUCUAGUGUCAGACUACUUAGUCACUUGGUCAAAAGAUGAAGGUUUUGAGAUUAGUAUGUAUUUAACCUUGUUGUUUGGACUCCAUAAAAUCAUUUUUUUUGCAGUUAGAUUUCAAAUAUUAACAGAAAAUACGGAUAUUAGUGCAAAAAAUGGCUUUACUUUUGAAAUUGGCUCUUAUUACAAGGAACAUAGUUGGUUACGCCUUGAACCAGUAUAAUUAAGUGCACUGCUGUGCAAUAACAAAAUAUUUAUUGCAUGUUUCAGUGAAACUGUCGCAGAUUGAUGUGAAAGUUUAAUGUCAUUGUAGGGUUGUUUGAAGAAUGGCUGAUUUCAUUUCUUCAUGCUCGUAAAACAUUGCAAUCAAUGGAGAAGAGGUCUGGGCUUUAUUCGCUUUAUUUGGACCGAGUAAAUGGAGAGUUGGCUAAACAGGUUGGCCAAGUAUUGUCUCAGGACAGCAUGUUGCCGUCUUCAGACAGGGGUGGCAAAUAUGUAACUUUAUAUAUAUGCAAUGCAAACAUUUUUUUUGGACGAAAAUUGUAAUAU